ACUGUUUAUUACAUUUUCUUCUCAAGACAGAAGAGAGAGAGAGAAACUAUAUGUGUAGGAAAGUUGAAAAUUGUUCAUUUGUACUGGAUUUAUGGGCUAAAGCAUCAUUUAGUGCAUUUGGUCGAUAAAAUAGUUGCAAAACCAAAUGAUUUCAAGGAAGACGAAAUUAGUAGUUAUUUUUCUGAUAUUCUUUUGUAACCUUAAAAGUUCGCCUGCUGUAACUGAUGAUGAUUUCGGAGAAACAUACCCAGAAGCGGGUAUAUGGCCGCCUUUGGACGAUUUUGAAGAAUUUCAAGAAGGAACAAUGUUGUUAAUUUUACGCCGUGUCAUUAAAAGACGAGCUAUUCCUUUGCAUUUCCAUCUUUCAUCUGAUUAACCUAUCUGGCAUCAACAAAAUGCGUAGAUUGUGACUGAUGCAUUGAGAAUCCCGUUGUGUUUGCCACAAAAACAGCUCACAUUUAAUGAUCUUUCUUAUUGUAUUGAGAAUAAGUUUAUGUUGUUUAUAACGUUAAGAAUAUCUUCAAAGGUACGGUUACAUUUAAUUAUUUUUUCGGGGAAUGGGCAGAGUUUUGUACAUUUUGAUUUAUUUACCGCAAAUGAAUUUUUAUAGUUAGACACAAUACGUUACACUUGAUAAAAAUAGUUUUGCGGCAUUAAAAAAACCCUCUCACACCUGAAUGCUUACUUACGGUUCAAUACCGAAUUUUUAUUGUUGAGGUAAAAUCUUGUGAAUCCAAGACUGUUGUCAUAUUGUAAAUGCCAUUGUUUUUUAUUUGAAAUGCAAUAAAAUUUUGUUUACCCUUCAUUGAUUCUAUUAGAGGGGUUGUUCAGUUUCACGAUAAAAGAUUAACUGGGUUUUUGGACCUUUUUAAAAAAAAUUACAUGCACCAGUAUUACAGAUUUAAAUCAUUGUAGCUAGUCAUACUGUUAACUGUUCAUUAUUCAAUGUAUGGAAUUUUAAUGCAACUAGCAAGCUUGCCUACAAUUCUAUAGUACUAUAAGCACUUUGAUUGAUGCUUGAUUUAUUUAAAUAAAAAUUUCAAUUCAAGUAGCUAUCAGUAAUAGGUUUUGACCUUUUAUUUUAACAAGAAUUUAGCAAGAAUUAUUUUUUGAUCAAUAAAAAUAAAAGCAACAUGGAGAGCACGGACUCCAAGGGCGAGCACAGUGGUAACCUUCUCAGAUAUGUAAAAUAGACUGUUCAUUUUGUGAAACUUUCCUUUUGACAAAAAUAAUUCACGUACUCUCAUACACUUUCUAUGGAUAAUUGAGUACACUUCAUCUACGUACAAUAAAGAUUGAUGAAAAUAU
rnacentral:sRNA from 1 species